UACGUAGGGUGCGAGCGUUGUCCGGAAUUACUGGGCGUAAAGAGCUCGUAGGUGGUUUGUCGCGUUGUUCGUGAAAACCGGGGGCUUAACUCUCGGCGUGCGGGCGAUACGGGCAGACUGGAGUACUGCAGGGGAGACUGGAAUUCCUGGUGUAGCGGUGGAAUGCGCAGAUAUCAGGAGGAACACCGGUGGCGAAGGCGGCAUCCUGGACCGACAUUGACGCUGAGGAGCGAAAGCUAGGGGAGCAAACGGG
rnacentral:rRNA from 1 species